UACAGAGGGGGCAAGCGUUGUUCGGAAUUACUGGGCGUAAAGGGCGCGUAGCGGCCGCCUAAGUCAGACGUGAAAUCCCCGGGCUUAACCUGGGAACUGCGCUUGUAACUGGCAAGCUAGAGUGUGGCAGAGGGGGGUGGAAUUCCACGUGUAGCAGUGAAAUGCGUAGAGAUGUGGAGGAACACCGAUGGCGAAGGCAGCCCCCUGGGCUAACACUGACGCUCAUGCACGAAAGCGUGGGGAGCAAACAGG
rnacentral:rRNA from 1 species